rnacentral:rRNA from 1 species
UACGUAGGGUGCGAGCGUUGUCCGAAAUUAUUGGGCGUAAAGAGCUCGUAGGCGGUCUGUCGCGUCGGUCGUGAAAACUUGGGGCUUAACCCUGAGCUUGCGGUCGAUACGGGCAUGACUGGAGUUCGGCAGGGGAGACUGGAAUUCCUGGUGUAGCGGUGAAAUGCGCAGAUAUCAGGAGGAACACCGGUGGCGAAGGCGGGUCUCUGGGCCGAUACUGACGCUGAGGAGCGAAAGCGUGGGGAGCGAACAGG